rnacentral:rRNA from 1 species
AGGGAUCAUUACAAGUGACCCCGGUCUAACCACCGGGAUGUUCAUAACCCUUUGUUGUCCGACUCUGUUGCCUCCGGGGCGACCCCGCCUUCGGGCGGGGGCUCCGGGUGGACGCUUCAAACUCUUGCGUAACUUUGCAGUCUGAGUAAACUUAAUUAAUAAAUUAAAACUUUUAACAACGGAUCUCUUGGUUCUGGCAUCGAUGAAGAACGCAGCGAAAUGCGAUAAGUAAUGUGAAUUGCAGAAUUCAGUGAAUCAUCGAAUCUUUGAACGCACAUUGCGCCCCCUGGUAUUCCGGGGGGCAUGCCUGUUCGAGCGUCAUUUCACCACUCAAGCCUCGCUUGGUAUUGGGCAACGCGGUCCGCCGCGUGCCUCAAAUCGACCGGCUGGGUCUUCUGUCCCCUAAGCGUUGUGGAAACUAUUCGCUAAAGGGUGUUCGGGAGGCUACGCCGUAAAACAACCCCAUUUCUAAGGUUGACCUCGGAUCAGGUAGGGAUACCCGCUGAACUUAAGCAUAUCAAUAAGCGGAGGAAAAGAAACCAACAGGGAUUGCUCUAGUAACGGCGAGUGAAGCAGCAAUAGCUCAAAUUUGAAAUCUGGCGUCUUCGACGUCCGAGUUGUAAUUUGUAGAGGAUGCUUCUGAGUAACCACCGACCUAAGUUCCUUGGAACAGGACGUCAUAGAGGGUGAGAAUCCCGUAUGCGGUCGGAAAGGUGCUCUAUACGUAGCUCCUUCGACGAGUCGAGUUGUUUGGGAAUGCAGCUCUAAAUGGGAGGUAAAUUUCUUCUAAAGCUAAAUAUUGGCCAGAGACCGAUAGCGCACAAGUAGAGUGAUCGAAAGAUGAAAAGCACUUUGGAAAGAGAGUUAAAAAGCACGUGAAAUCGUUAAAAGGGAAGGGAUUGCAACCAGACUUGCUCGCGGUGUUCCGCCGGUCUUCUGACCGGUCUACUCGCCGCGUUGCAGGCCAGCAUCGUCUGGUGCCGCUGGAUAAGACUUGAGGAAUGUAGCUCCCUCGGGAGUGUUAUAGCCUCUUGUGAUGCAGCGAGCGCCGGGCGAGGUCCGCGCUUCGGCUAGGAUGCUGGCGUAAUGGUCGUAAUCCGC